AUCCAUCUGAUGAGUCCCAAAUAGGUCGAAACGCGUAUCAUGGAU
rfam:Schistosoma mattheei strain Denwood, Zambia genome assembly, scaffold: SMTD_scaffold0017149